GGAUCACAUGCUACAGCCAUCCUACAAAGGAUCAUGGUUUCCAUUCAAACCAGAUCUCAUCAUAUGUUCCCCAUGGGAAUAUCGCGGGAAUGUGAAGAAGAGGCGGUACGACCCCAACGCCUCGGCCAUCUAAGCCCCGCCUCCUGCUCCUGCUCCUCCUCCUCUUCCUCCUCCUCUGCCCGCCCCCCCGACAGGAGGUGGUGGCGCUAGUAGGGAGGGACCCUCCUCUCCCUCCCCCUGCUCCUCUUCAUCCUCAACGAGGCUUCCCAUUGGCUGGCUCGGGGCCAGCCGGACUGACCUUCGGCGUAAGAUUUACUUGAAGUAAAAAUAAAACACGCAAGAGGAUAAAAGAUAUAGCGGACAUUUUAACAAAUUCCACGGUAGUGGCGUAGAACUGCAGCCCCCCCUCUCUCCCCUCCCUCACCCCUCCUGAACCAAGUUCGACUAACGCUCCCCCAAAACAGAGUGAACAGAACUCCUCCUCCUCCUCCUCCUCCUCCUCCUCCUCCUCCUCCCUAGUGCCGGUGCACUGGCAUUCAGGCUGACUCCUCUUCCUCCUCCUCUUCCUCCUCCGACACCACCGCCACUCCUCCUCUCUCACCUGGCAUGACCCCCUCCUCCGCACACACACACACACACACACACACACACACACACACACACACACACACACACACACACACACACACACACACACACACACACACAGACACACACACACACACACACACACACACAUACACAUCUCUGCUCCUCCUGCAUUACCCUUUGGCAUGAGGGCGAGACUCUGCAUGGCUACACGACGCAAGUGAUUUACCGCAAACAAACCGACAAAAAAAAACAAUUUAAAUAUAUAUAUAUAUGAUUAUAUAUCAAGGAGGAGAGGGGAAAAUAAUAUGAAUCACGCGCCCGAGAGGAGAUUGGCUUUUCAUUAGUAAGUAAGCCCAUCCAAAGUUCUAGAUACUUCACUUAUAUAGGCGCCGUAGGUAAGGAGGCUAGGAGGCUAGGAGGCAGGAGAUAGGGAGGGAACUCACACACUUAUAAAAGGACACACACACAUGUACUCCCGCGUUGCCAGUCCGUAGAGGUGACAACGUGUCACCAGGCUGACCUGAAGUGUUGCUUUCAGCUCAGCGCUGCGGCUGGCGUGGACAAACAGAGAGGAUUUGGAGCACACCUAAAACGCUGGAACAGAGGAAGUGUGACAUCUUACAUGAUGAGGGUCAAGGGUCACAGCAGGUAGGAUCCACAGAGAACAGCGAGGGGGGGGGGGGAGAUAUCCGAUAUAAAGAGCCAUGGGCACUGACUACACAAGACAGAGGUCAGGGGUCAGAUUAUCAACCAAUCCCCUUCUCUUCCUCACCAACAUGUCCUUCCGAUGGUAAGUCAAAAGCCAAAGAACCAAUCACAGGAACGUAUGGAUGUUGACGCACGAAGAGCACUUUCCCCCCCGUCGCCCUGUCCUCUCUCUCUCUCUCUCUCUCUCUCUCUCUCUCUCUCUCUCUCUCACUCACUCUCUCUCUCUCUCUCUCUCUCUCUCUCUCUCUCUCUCUCUCUC
ensembl:lncRNA